rnacentral:lncRNA from 1 species
UUAUUCUUAAAAGAUACUCCAAAGAGUUUAGGAACCCACGGACCUAUGAGACUAUCUGCACUUCUGGCUAUCCCACAUCGGGGCAAGAUGGUGGCUUGGCUCUCUUUCUAUAGUCUCAUCCAUGAAACACCAUGAAGUUAAAAAGAUCAAAACAAAAAGCAAGUGAUGCGAAAAAAAGCAAAAACAAAACUAACUUAUGUAAAGCUUUUAAUCCCAGCAUUCAGGAGGGAGAGGCAGGCAGAUCUCUGUGGGUUUGAGAUCAGCUUAUUCUGCAUAGUGAGUUUCAGGACAGCCAGGGUGCUAUGGAGUAAGGCCAUGUCUCAAAGAAAGAAAGGAAGAAAGAAAGAAAGAAAGAAAGAAAGAAAGAAAGAAAGAAAGAAACAAACAAACAAAAAAACCAAGAGAAACAGCCAACCAAUCAACCAACUAACCAGACAAAACAAAACUCAAACAAACAAAACACCCAAGCUUAAGUAAAACUUUCUCUCUCUCUCUCUCUCUCUCUCUCUCUCUCUCUCUCUCUCUCUCUCUCCUCUGGCAGCCUCAGUGUCUCAGGCUCACUGUCCCGGAAUGCAGAGGGGAGGGGUUGGCACAAGGGAGAUGAGUCCUUGCCUUGCCUGUGCUUGCUGCUGUCUAGCUCUGAGUGACCAUUCUUCACGUUUCUCAGCUGCCUGGUUGACGAAACAGGCCCCGGAGGCCUCUGAGCUGGAGCUGACCUGAGCGGCCCGGCCUGAACACUAGCUUUCACGGAACCAGAAGGCACCAUGCAAGUUUCCGAAGGAGGGAAGCGAGCAACAGUCCCAUCUAACUAUAACACGAAUGAGCCGCAUCAACAACCAGCAUGGCGUGGUAACCCUAAGGGGGCAGUAGUGGCACACAUGCCUUGGCAGUAACCAUCAGGUCUCCAGUUGGAUUUAAGACAAGUCCAAGGCUCAACAAGAAGGAAUUCAUGUCUAAUACAGCUAACUACUAGCUAGCCUAAUCUAGCUAAAGACUCAGUGCUGGUUAGAGUCUUGGUUAACUGGAGAAGAGUCUAGAACCAUUAAUUUACUAAACCAGCACACUCCCUAAAAAUCGAAAAACAUUUGUUCUUAUACCUACAGGUAACUGUAGUCUUUACAUCAAGGAAAGUGCUGUUUGGAACAUAUGGAGACCACUACAAAAAACCCUCAGCCAAUCAAAGUGCAGGUUUGUGGACUCCAGUCCCUGUGGAUACAUCUACAAAAUCCUCCCACGUGUAAGGCUGAGAGAGCAUUGUGAAGAGGGGGCAGAAAGAUUGCAAGAGCCAGGGGAUCAGGGACUUUGAUCUAAGAUUGUGUCUCCUAGUAAUAUCAGAAGCUGUACUCAUGAAGUCUCACCACUAAGACUGUCCAAGUGUGAGCUGAACAAGGAUGGCACCAGUGGACAUGACAGAUUGGAUAGGGGAAAGCCCAUGAAGUCUCAGCCCCACAUAAAGAGCUCUAGGCACCUGAAUAAAGCAGAGAGUGGGAUGGGGUGGACCUCCCCAGGGAAGAGCAUACCAGAUGGUUGCCAAGUGCCACACUGCCAGCCCUGUAAACACACAUACAAUUAAUCAGACUAGCUAAACAGGUUGCAUUCCUGAAUACGUUCUAUCUAUCUAUCUAUCUAUCUAUCUAUCUAUCUAUCUAUCUAUCUAUCUAUCUAUCUAUCAA